rnacentral:rRNA from 1 species
UACAGAGGGGGCGAGCGUUAUUCGGAAUUAUUGGGCGUAAAGGGCGCGUAGGCGGCUUUGCAAGUGACGGGUGAAAGCCCUCGGCUUAACCGAGGAACUGCCUGUCAGACUGUGAGGCUUGAGACCGGGAGAGGUGAGUGGAAUUCCCAGUGUAGCGGUGAAAUGCGUAGAUAUCGGGAGGAACACCAGUGGCGAAGGCGACUACCUGGCCUGUUCUUGACGCUGAGGCGCGAAAGCUAGGGGAGCAAACGGG